rnacentral:rRNA from 1 species
AUGAACGCUGGCGGCGUGCCUAAUACCUGCCAGUCGAGCGAACAGAAGAGGAGCUUGCUCCUCUGACGUUAGCGGCGGACGGGUGAGUAACACGUGGCUAACCUACCUAUAAGACUGGGGUAACUUCGGGAAACCGGAGCUAAUACCGGAUAAUAUAUUGAACCGCAUGGUUCAAUAGUGAAAGACGGUUUUGCUGUCACUUAUAGGUGGAUCCGCGCCGCAUUAGCUAGUUGGUAAGGUAACGGCCUACCAAGGCGACGAUGCGUAGCCGACCUGAGAGGGUGAUCGGCCACACUGGAACUGAGACACGGUCCAGACUCCUACGGGAGGCAGCAGUAGGGAAUCUUCCGCAAUGGGCGAAAGCCUGACGGAGCAACGCCGCGUGAGUGAUGAAGGUCUUCGGAUCGUAAAACUCUGUUAUUAGGGAAGAACAAAUGUGUAAGUAACUAUGCACGUCUUGACGGUACCUAAUCAGAAAGCCACGGCUAACUACGUG